rnacentral:rRNA from 1 species
CCUACGGGUGGCUGCAGUGAGGAAUAUUGGGCAAUGGGCGGAAGCCUGAACCAGCCAAGCAGCGUGCAGGAUGACGGCCCUCCGGGUUGUAAACUGCUUCUAUACGGGAAUAACGCGCCUUUCGUGUACGGCGUUGCAUGUACCGUAUGAGUAAGGACCGGCUCAUUCCGUGCCAGCAGCCGCGGUAAGACGGAAGGUACGGGCGUUAUCCGGAUUUAUUGGGGUUAAAGGGAGCGUAGGCGGCAUGUCAAGCGUGCUGUGAAAUGCCCGGGCUCAACCCGGGCCUUGCAGCGCGAACUGGCGUGCUUGAGUCCGCGAGAGGCAGGCGGAAUUCGUGGUGUAGCGGUGAAAUGCUUAGAUAUGACGAGGAACCCCGAUUGCGAAGGCAGCUUGCUGCAGCGGAACUGACGCUGAGGCUCGAAAGCGCGGGUAUCGAACAGGAUUAGAUACCCCAGUAGUC